UACGGAGGGUGCAAGCGUUGUUCGGAAUUAUUGGGCGUAAAGCGCACGUAGGCGGGUUCGUAUGUCGAUUGUGAAAGCCCUGGGCUUAACCUGGGAAUUGCAGUCGAAACUGCGGAUCUUGAAUACCUGAGAGGGUGGGAGAAUUCCUGGUGGAGUAGUGAAAUACGUAGAGAUCAGGAGGAAUACCUGAGGCGAAGGCGCCUACCUGGCAGUGUAUUGACGCUGAGGUGCGAAAGCGUGGGGAGCAAACAGG
rnacentral:misc_RNA from 1 species